rnacentral:rRNA from 1 species
GGGGAGAUUCAUCGUCAGCGAUUCUGGUACGUGUGCGGCUCGCGAUGCCGGAGACUUCGGUUUCCAGGCACGCGUCCGCAUGUUUUUUAUUGCCUCGAUCGUCGGCGUGCACUUCUCCCCUAGUAGGAGGUCGCGACCCGUUGGGUGUCGGUCUACGGCCCGGGCGGUAGCCUGUCUCGUGUUCGCUUCGCGGCGUUACGCGGUUCAGACCCCUGGUUGCCCGACCGGCUGCUCGGCGGUACUCGCACGGUAUCUGGCCGCAAAUAUUCGAACUGCGUCCGGCCCGUCGCAAGCGAGGCAAGUGUUUCCCGGUUGUACGGAUCUAAUGCCGUCACCGGGCCUUGCCAGCUGUUGGUUGACGGUGUCCUAGGACUGGCUAAUACAAUUAUGAUACCGGUCGGCGACGCUAAUGCUUUGGGUACUUUCAGG